rnacentral:rRNA from 1 species
UACGGGGGGGCAAGCGUUGUUCGGAAUUACUGGGCGUAAAGGGCUCGUAGGCGGCCAACUAAGUCAGACGUGAAUCCCUCGGCUUAACCGGGGAACUGCAUCUGAUACUGGAUGGCUUGAGUUCGGGAGAGGGAUGCGGAAUUCCAGGUGUAGCGGUGAAAUGCGUAGAUAAUCUGGAGGAACACCGGUGGCGAAGGCGGCAUCCUGGACCGACGACUGACGCUGAGG